CCUACGGGGGGCUGCAGUGGGGAAUUUUGGACAAUGGGCGCAAGCCUGAUCCAGCCAUUCCGCGUGAGUGAAGAAGGCCUUCGGGUUGUAAAGCUCUUUCGCAAGGGAAGAAAACUUAUCCUCUAACAUAGGAUGAGGUUGACGGUACCUUGAUAAGAAGCACCGGCUAACUACGUGCCAGCAGCCGCGGUAAUACGUAGGGUACGAGCGGGCAUCGGAAGUACUGGGGGUAGUUUGUAAGUAGGAUGUUCAAUCCCCGAGCUCAACUUGGGAACUGCGUUUGAAACUACAAGACUAGAAUAGGUCAGAGGGGGGUAGAAUUCCACGUGUAGCAGUGAAAUGCGUAGAGAUGUGGAGGAAUAUCAAUGGCGAAGGCAGCCCCCUGGGAUCAUAUUGACGCUCAUGCACGAAAGCGUGGGGAGCAAACAGGAUUAGAUACCCGGGUAGUC
rnacentral:rRNA from 1 species